AGUGAACGCUGGCGGUAGGCCUAACACAUGCAAGUCGAACGGCAGCACAGUAAGAGCUUGCUCUUACGGGUGGCGAGUGGCGGACGGGUGAGGAAUACAUCGGAAUCUACUUUUUCGUGGGGGAUAACGUAGGGAAACUUACGCUAAUACCGCAUACGACCUACGGGUGAAAGCAGGGGAUCUUCGGACCUUGCGCGAUUGAAUGAGCCGAUGUCGGAUUAGCUAGUUGGCGGGGUAAAGGCCCACCAAGGCGACGAUCCGUAGCUGGUCUGAGAGGAUGACAAGCCAAACGGGAACGGAGACACGGCCCAAACCCCUACGGGAGGGAGAAGGGGGGAAUUUUGAAAAAGGGGCGAAAGCCGGAUCCAGCCAAACCGGGGGGGUGAAGAAGGCCUUCGGGUUGUAAAGCCCUUUUGUUGGGAAAGAAAAGGAGCAGGUUAAUACCCCGCUGUUCUGGCGGUACCCAAAGAAAAAGCCCCGGCUAACUUCGU
rnacentral:rRNA from 1 species